rnacentral:rRNA from 1 species
UACAGAGGGGGCAAGCGUUGUUCGGAAUUACUGGGCGUAAAGGGCGCGUAGGCGGCCUGCUAAGUCGAACGUGAAAUCCCUGGGCUCAACCCAGGAACUGCGUCCGAUACUGGUUGGCUUGAAUCCGGGAGAGGGAUGUGGAAUUCCAGGUGUAGCGGUGAAAUGCGUAGAUAUCUGGAGGAACACCGGUGGCGAAGGCGGGUCUCUGGGCCGAUACUGACGCUGAGGAGCGAAAGCUAGGGGAGCAAACAGG